UACAUGGGGUGCAAACGUUGCUCGGAAUCAUUGGGCGUAAAGCGCACGUAGGCGGUUCGUUAUGUCGGAUGUGAAAGCCCUUGGCUUAACCGAGGAAGUGCAUCCGAAACUGGCGAGCUAGAGUACGAAAGAGGAUCGCGGAAUUCCCGGUGUAGAGGUGAAAUUCGUAGAUAUCGGGAGGAACACCGGUGGCGAAGGCGGCGAUCGUGGGCGAUACUGACGCUGAGGUGCGAAAGCGUGGGAGCAAACAGG
rnacentral:rRNA from 1 species